rnacentral:rRNA from 1 species
UACAGAGGUCUCAAGCGUUGUUCGGAUUCAUUGGGCGUAAAGGGUGCGUAGGCGGCGCGGUAAGUCGGGUGUGAAAUCUCAGGGCUCAACCCUGAAACUGCAUUCGAUACUGCGUGGCUAGAGUGCUGGAGAGGGGACUGGAAUUUACGGUGUAGCAGUGAAAUGCGUAGAUAUCGUAAGGAAGACCAGUGGCGAAGGCGAGUCUCUGGACAGCAACUGACGCUGAGGCACGAAGGCCAGGGGAGCAAACGGG